GAGGGGCGGAGCGGUUCUCCUUACCGGGCGGUGUCAGCUGGAGAAAACGGGACAGAGGAGCAGUGAGAGGCUGACACAGGAGGGAUUCAUUUCCCCGGCUGAUUGUUCUGACUGCACCAGCGGACUCCAGGUGUCAGCAUGUCGACAAACAUCAGCGCCGAGGAGAUGGCGGAGAUGAGGGAGGCUUUCCAGAAAGUGGAUUCGGAUGGCAAUGGGUACAUCGUCUCCUCUGAACUCGGCGAUCUCUUCCGCGAGGCGGGCUGUCCUUUGCCCGGAUACCAGAUCAGAGAACUGCUUCAGAAGCUGGACAGAGACAACGACAGCCGGAUCAACUUUGAUGAGUUCACGGCUAUUUUCAAGGAUAUGAAGGACGACCGCAUGGCCCAGGGUUUCAAGAAAGCUCUGAACAAGAAACAAGGCAUCGUGGCCAUCGGGGGCACCAGCGAGAUCUCUAGUGCAGGAACUCAGCAUUCCAUCUCUGAGCAGGAGCGCUUUGCCUUCGCCAACUACAUCAACUCUUCUUUGGAAAAGGAUCCAGACUGUAAACACCUGCUGCCCAUCAACCCCGAAACUGAAGCUCUGUUUAAAGCAGUGGCUGAUGGCGUCAUCCUUUGUAAACUCAUCAACCUCUCUGUCGCUGACACCAUCGAUGAGAGAACCAUUAAUAAAAAGAAACUGACAGCUUUCACCACACAGGAGAAUCUGAACUUGGCUCUGAAUUCCGCCUCGGCCAUCGGCUGCCAAGUCGUCAACAUUGGAGCUCAAGAUCUGAAGGAGGGAAAACCUCACCUGGUGCUCGGACUCCUCUGGCAGAUUAUCAAGAUAGGACUGUUCGCUGCUAUAGAGCUGAGCCGCAAUGAAGCUAUAGCAGCGCUGCUAGAGGAAGGGGAGAGUCUGGAAGAACUGAUGAAACUCAGUCCUGAGGAGCUGCUGCUGCGCUGGGCCAAUUUCCAUUUAAAGAAAGCCGGCAUGUCCAUAUCAAACUUUUCUGGAGAUAUUAAGGACUCCAAGGCGUACUUCCACCUGCUAGAGCAGAUUGCUCCAGAUGGCAGCAAAGAGGACGUUCCCCGGAUUGAGGUUGACAUGACUGGUCUUUAUGAGAAGGAUCUCACGAAGAGAGCAGAGUGUAUGCUCAAACAGGCCGAGCGCCUUGGCUGCAGACAGUUUGUAACUGCCACCGAUGUCGUGUGUGGAAACUCAAAGCUCAACAUGGCCUUCGUAGCCAAGCUCUUCAACAAACACCCGGCUCUCACCAAACCAGACAACCAAGACUGGAACAAUGUGGAGAGCGAGACCAGAGAGGAGAGAACUUUCAGGAACUGGAUGAACUCUCUCGGAGUCAGUCCACAUGUUCACCAUAUCUACGGUGAUCUGCAGGAUGCCAUGGUGAUUCUCCAGCUCUAUAAAACGAUUAAGGUGCCAGUGGACUGGGACAAAGUCAACCAACCUCCAUUCAAGGGAAAGGGAGCAGGGCAUUUAAAAAAGAUGGAAAACUGUACCUAUGCUGUGGAGCUGGGUAAGAAGAAAGCUGGUUUCUCCCUGGUGGGAAUUGGCGGACAGGACCUCUACGAUGGAAAUCCAACUCUAACUCUGGCACUGGUGUGGCAGCUGAUGAGGAGGUACACGUUAAAUGUUCUUGAAGAACUCGGGCAUGGAGCAGUUGCAGGAGAUGAUUUGAUUGUUUCAUGGGUCAACAAGACUUUGGCUGAGGCUGGCAAGAGUUCCUCUAUCAAAAGCUUUAAGGACAAAGUGAUCGGUACCAGUAUACCGGUUCUGGAGCUGAUUGAUGCCAUUCAGCCACAAAGUGUGAACUUUGAGCUGGUUCAAAAAGGAAGUCUGUCAGACGAAGACAAACUAAACAAUGCCAAGUAUGCCAUUUCCAUGGCGAGGAAGAUCGGGGCGAAAGUCUACGCUCUGCCUGAGGACCUGGUAGAGAUUAACCCGAAAAUGGUGAUGACCAUCUUCGCCUGCCUGAUGGGGAGAGGCAUGAAGAGGGCUUAAAGGACGCACACGCACACACACACACACACACACACACACACACACACACACACACACAAACAUAUAUACACGCAUACUGACUGACUGACUGUCUUCGCCCGUGUGAUUUCAUGAGACAUAAAGAGAGUUAACAUAGCUGUAUUGUCUUGUUCUUAUAAGCAGUUAUUCUGUGUUAGCCAAAAUACAAUAACAAUAGUGAUCAUCUGAGGGCUCAGCAGGAAUUUGAAUUUCUUUUUAAACGGUCAGACCAUAAAGGCUAUGGGUAAAUAUUUGGGGUUUGGGUGUUUUUUUUUCUGAAUCUCAGUUUUGCUUUUGGACACUUUAGUAGUUGGGUGAUUAGCAGGGUCACAUUAAGAAAACACUCAGCUUUCCAUACUGCUCGUUAAUAUAAAUAUCAGCAGGAAUGUGUUUGUCUAGACUGGCGACAUGUAUACAGGGUCUGCCCAGUACACGAGGGGUAAGCCUGUUGAG